rnacentral:rRNA from 1 species
UACGGAGGGCGCGAGCGUUACCCGGAUUUACUGGGCGUAAAGGGCGUGUAGGCGGUCUGGGGCGUCCCAUGUGAAAGACCACGCCUCAACCGUGGGGGAGCGUGGGAUACGCUCAGGCUAGACGGCGGGAGAGGGUGGUGGAAUUCCCGGAGUAGCGGUGAAAUGCGCAGAUACCGGGAGGAACGCCGAUGGCGAAGGCAGCCACCUGGCUCGUUCGUGACGCUGAGGCGCGAAAGCGUGGGGAGCAAACCGG